GAUCGGAUUAAGCCCUUUGCGUUUUAGAACCUUUGUACACAUUGGCGUGUUUCAUUUUCCAUUUUGGCCCUAUGUCAAACGGCCACACACGUCGGCAAGGUUUGUUUUUGUUAUUGUUUUGUUUUUUGGCCUCGCAGGCCAAUCCAAAACAAAUUACACUUUCGUGUUGAGCCUUUUGAACCAAAAUUAUAUUUUUGCUCGUUUUUGUGAAUUUUAAUAGCUAACAGCACGAUUAUUCUUACAAUUUCUGUUUUAAAUCGAGUGUUUCUGCAUUCCAAAGGGAAAGUGCGUGAUAUUUGGAUGACUAAAAUGGCCCAGAAACUCGGAUGAUUGUGGCCAGUAGGUGCUCCAAGAAUAAGGAUGAGGACCUCGGUGAGGACAUCUGUGCAAGAAAUAUCGUGGUACGAUGCCUAUGGCGGUGAUUCAUGCAUUCCGUUAUCGGAGAAGUAGGGACCAAGCCGCCAACAUAGAUGCUGCCAAAUCCGUCGAACCCGAGGUCGAACCUGUAUGUUGGCUAUGGGUCAAUGGCACUGAUGGUUUGAACGGCUACAACCCGAAAGAAACGGAACGAGAUAGUGGCAUGAAAUAGCAAACCGGAGAAACGGAUUUAUCUAAUAAAUUUAUGUAGGCAAA